AUACGUAGGUGGCAAGCGUUGUCCGGAAUUAUUGGGCGUAAAGCGCGCGCAGGCGGUCUUUUAAGUCUGAUGUGAAAGCCCCCGGCUCAACCGGGGAGGGUCAUUGGAAACUGGGAGACUUGAGUACAGAAGAGAAGAGUGGAAUUCCACGUGUAGCGGUGAAAUGCGUAGAGAUGUGGAGGAACACCAGUGGCGAAGGCGACUCUUUGGUCUGUAACUGACGCUGAGGCGCGAAAGCGUGGGGAGCGAACAGGAUUAGAUACCCUGGUAGUCCACGCCGUAAACGAUGAGUGCUAAGUGUUAGAGGGUUUCCGCCCUUUAGUGCUGCAGCAAACGCAUUAAGCACUCCGCCUGGGGAGUACGGCCGCAAGGCUGAA
rnacentral:rRNA from 1 species